rnacentral:ncRNA from 1 species
AGAACGUCUAAGACGAGGACAGUAUCCAGCCUGUGUGACACCCAGCGAGCCGGGGAUGGUGAGAGCCCGGUCGAAAGCAAGCCUGGAGAAGCGCACCUCCGAGACGCCCCCCGAACAGGCGGGGCCGGGUCAGCCCGUUACAGCGCAAAGCGGCUCUUCGUCCCAUUCGGUUUUUUCCGAUGCGGGAGAGAGCAACAAGAGUGGUACCGCGGGAGCAACAGCUCUCGUCUCUUAA